CAGCAGCCACGGUAAUACGUAGGUGGCAAGCGUUGUCCGGAAUUAUUGGGCGUAAAGGGCUCGCAGGCGGUUUCUUAAGUCUGAUGUGAAAGCCCCCGGCUCAACCGGGGAGGGUCAUUGGAAACUGGGAAACUUGAGUGCAGAAGAGGAGAGUGGAGUUCCACGUGUAGCGGUGAAAUGCGUAGAGAUGUGGAGGAACACCAGUGGCGAAGGCGACUCUCUGGUCUGUAACUGACGCUGAGGAGCGAAAGCGUGGGGAGCGAACAGGAUUAGAGACCCCAGUAGUCCCUGUCUCUUAUAC
rnacentral:rRNA from 1 species